rnacentral:lncRNA from 1 species
CUUCUUCUUCUUCUUCUUCUUCUUCUUCUUCUUCUUCUUCUUCUUCUUCUUCUUCUUCUUCUUCUUCUUCUUCUUCUUCUUCUUCUUCUUCUUCUUCUUCUUCUUCUUCUCCAUAUUACAAUGUCGAGCUAACUAAUAGCCCUGCCGCAUUUCCUUUUAUAGAUGAGGCUAGGUGUAUAGUACUAGACAUGUAGAACUAUCCAAGUACUUCACCCAUCCAUUCAACGACUUGACCCAUCCAGAAGAAAUGCAUCCUGCCAUUGCGGGAUUGGUCCAAGAGAGGAAGCAUGGGCGCUGGCCACGAAACUGGCAUGCU